rnacentral:rRNA from 1 species
AUUGAACGCUGGCGGCAUGCCUUACACAUGCAAGUCGAACGGUAACGGGCCUUCGGGUGCCGACGAGUGGCGAACGGGUGAGUAAUACAUCGGAACGUGCCCGAUCGUGGGGGAUAACGAGGCGAAAGCUUUGCUAAUACCGCAUACGAUCUACGGAUGAAAGCAGGGGACCGCAAGGCCUUGCGCGGAUGGAGCGGCCGAUGGCAGAUUAGGUAGUUGGUGGGAUAAAAGCUUACCAAGCCGACGAUCUGUAGCUGGUCUGAGAGGAUGAUCAGCCACACUGGGGCUGAGAAACGGCCCAAACCCCUAGGGGGGGCAGGGGGGGGGAAUUUGGGAAAAGGGGGGCAAGCCGGACCCGGCCAUGCCGGGGGAAGGAAGAAGGCCUUCGGGUUGGAAACUGUUUUUGGAGGGAACGAAAAGCCUUCUUUUAAAACGGGGGGGUCAGGGCGGACCCGAAAGAAUAAGCACCGGCUAACUACGU